AACUACAUAAGAGAAUCCUUUCACUCACAAAUGAAAAAUCUGUCCAACAUUUAAAAAUUAAACCACUAAGUUCUAUGUUCAAAAUUAGCAUGCAAUUUCAACUUACUAAUCCUUCCAGUAAUAAAGACAAUAACUAGUUUCAGAAACUCUAUCAUAAAGUUCUCCCUCAACUGUGCACGUCCUUUAAAUAUUUGUAUUUGAUCAGCAUUUGCUAGAGACAGAAAGAAUAUGACAGAAAAACCUAGUCUCUGACUCAUUAUAAGACAGACUUUAGUUUAUAUUUAACAUAUUGCCUGAUGCACGAAAUUUAUGCAAGGGGCUCAGCCCUCACAGUUGCAGCCCCAGCUUCCUCCAGAAGGUUGUCCGAAAGGACGACCAGCUGUCUGGUCUAAUUAGCAUAUUAUGCUUUUAUUAUUAUAGAAGGUAGCCAAUUUCCAAUAUCUGAGCAAGUAAAUCAGUCUCAUGAUCAUUUCUUGUUACAUUUCCACGCUUUUUGUGGUUUAUACUAGACAAAACAAUGGCUCAAAUAUUGUGUUAAAAAUAUCCUCGGUAGCUCUGAGAAAUUCAGGUACCCAAAUGUUAACUUACGAAAGCAUUUCAUUUUCUCAUUAUACUCUACACAUCAAAAUAAAGAUUCCACAAUUUUCCAAAUGCUAACUAUUGACAAGUGAAGCUAUAUAUGCAGAAAGAUUUUAUUAUACAAAAGACACUAAAAAAUAACUGCUCAAUAAUUAUGCAAGCUAUUUACUAGACUGCUUAUUGAAGAAGACUGUAAUUAUUUCAUGGUCCUUACAAAUACUCCAGUUUUUGCUUACUUUCAGAACUCUCCUCUACUUUAGAAAGCUCAUCUUCUUGUACUGGCACACUGAUGUCUUGAAAAUCUUCUCUUCUUUCUGUUAAACUUUCACAUUCUAAACAACGAGUUCUUAAUACCAGCUGACCUUGAAAUAACUUCUCUACAAGCUCAAAACCAAUUUGCUCUGUGCCUAAAACAAAAACAGGAAAAUAUAAGUCUGUAUAUAUUAGUUUUUCAGCAUAGCCCAAGUAACCAAUAUUCAUUUAAAGCAUAUGUGAAUAAAAGGCUGAUUUUCAAAUCUCAACCUGCUUAUUAGCAUUAAAAGGUGCCUUAUUCAUGAAAUGUAAAUUCUAUAAAGGUAGUUUAGAAUACGAAUUACUGUUCUCUAAAUAAAGGAAGUCACAACUGUGUCUUCAUAAUUCCCACCCCCUAGAGAAUAA